rnacentral:rRNA from 1 species
GAUGAACGCUGGCGGCGUGCCUAAUACAUGCAAGUCGAGCGAACAGACGAGGAGCUUGCUCCUCUGACGUUAGCGGCGGACGGGUGAGUAACACGUGGAUAACAUACCUAUAAGACUGGGAUAAUUUCGGGAAACCGGAGCUAAUACCGGAUAAUAUAUCGAACCGCAUGGUUCAAUAGUGAAAGACGGUUUUGCUGUCACUUAUAGAUGGACCCGCGCCGCAUUAGCUAGUUGGUAAGGUAACGGCUUACCAAGGCAACGAUGCGUAGCCGACCUGAGAGGGUGAUCGGCCACACUGGAACUGAGACACGGUCCAGACUCCUACGGGAGGCAGCAGUAGGGAAUCUUCCGCAAUGGGCGAAAGCUUGACGGAGCAACGCCGCGUGAGUGAUGAAGGUCUUCGGAUCGUAAAACGCUGUUAUUAGGAAAGAACAAAUGUGUUAGUAACUAUGCACGUCUUGACGGUACCUAAUCAAAAAGCCACGGCUAACUACGUG